CACACUAUCAUUAACUGAAUCCAUAGGUUAAUGAGGCGAACCGGGGGAACUGAAACAUCUAAGUACCCCGAGGAAAAGAAAUCAACCGAGAUUCCCCCAGUAGCGGCGAGCGAACGGGGAGCAGCCCAGAGCCUGAAUCAGUGUGUGUGUUAGUGGAAGCGUCUGGAAAGGCGCGCGAUACAGGGUGACAGCCCCGUACACAAAAAUGCACAUGCUGUGAGCUCGAUGAGUAGGGCGGGACACGUGGUAUCCUGUCUGAAUAUGGGGGGACCAUCCUCCAAGGCUAAAUACUCCUGACUGACCGAUAGUGAACCAGUACCGUGAGGGAAAGGCGAAAAGAACCCCGGCGAGGGGAGUGAAAAAGAACCUGAAACCGUGUACGUACAAGCAGUGGGAGCACGCUUAGGCGUGUGACUGCGUACCUUUUGUAUAAUGGGUCAGCGACUUAUAUUCUGUAGCAAGGUUAACCGAAUAGGGGAGCCGAAGGGAAACCGAGUCUUAACUGGGCGUUAAGUUGCAGGGUAUAGACCCGAAACCCGGUGAUCUAGCCAUGGGCAGGUUGAAGGUUGGGUAACACUAACUGGAGGACCGAACCGACUAAUGUUGAAAAAUUAGCGGAUGACUUGUGGCUGGGGGUGAAAGGCCAAUCAAACCGGGAGAUAGCUGGUUCUCCCCGAAAGCUAUUUAGGUAGCGCCUCGUGAAUUCAUCUCCGGGGGUAGAGCACUGUUUCGGCAAGGGGGUCAUCCCGACUUACCAACCCGAUGCAAACUGCGAAUACCGGAGAAUGUUAUCACGGGAGACACACGGCGGGUGCUAACGUCCGUCGUGAAGAGGGAAACAACCCAGACCGCCAGCUAAGGUCCCAAAGUCAUGGUUAAGUGGGAAACGAUGUGGGAAGGCCCAGACAGCCAGGAUGUUGGCUUAGAAGCAGCCAUCAUUUAAAGAAAGCGUAAUAGCUCACUGGUCGAGUCGGCCUGCGCGGAAGAUGUAACGGGGCUAAACCAUGCACCGAAGCUGCGGCAGCGACGCUGAUGCGUUGUUGGGUAGGGGAGCGUUCUGUAAGCCUGCGAAGGUGUGCUGUGAGGCAUGCUGGAGGUAUCAGAAGUGCGAAUGCUGACAUAAGUAACGAUAAAGCGGGUGAAAAGCCCGCUCGCCGGAAGACCAAGGGUUCCUGUCCAACGUUAAUCGGGGCAGGGUGAGUCGACCCCUAAGGCGAGGCCGAAAGGCGUAGUCGAUGGGAAACAGGUUAAUAUUCCUGUACUUGGUGUUACUGCGAAGGGGGGACGGAGAAGGCUAUGUUGGCCGGGCGACGGUUGUCCCGGUUUAAGCGUGUAGGCUGGUUUUCCAGGCAAAUCCGGAAAAUCAAGGCUGAGGCGUGAUGACGAGGCACUACGGUGCUGAAGCAACAAAUGCCCUGCUUCCAGGAAAAGCCUCUAAGCAUCAGGUAACAUCAAAUCGUACCCCAAACCGACACAGGUGGUCAGGUAGAGAAUACCAAGGCGCUUGAGAGAACUCGGGUGAAGGAACUAGGCAAAAUGGUGCCGUAACUUCGGGAGAAGGCACGCUGAUAUGUAGGUGAAGUCCCUCGCGGAUGGAGCUGAAAUCAGUCGAAGAUACCAGCUGGCUGCAACUGUUUAUUAAAAACACAGCACUGUGCAAACACGAAAGUGGACGUAUACGGUGUGACGCCUGCCCGGUGCCGGAAGGUUAAUUGAUGGGGUCAGCGCAAGCGAAGCUCUUGAUCGAAGCCCCGGUAAACGGCGGCCGUAACUAUAACGGUCCUAAGGUAGCGAAAUUCCUUGUCGGGUAAGUUCCGACCUGCACGAAUGGCGUAAUGAUGGCCAGGCUGUCUCCACCCGAGACUCAGUGAAAUUGAACUCGCUGUGAAGAUGCAGUGUACCCGCGGCAAGACGGAAAGACCCCGUGAACCUUUACUAUAGCUUGACACUGAACAUUGAGCCUUGAUGUGUAGGAUAGGUGGGAGGCUUUGAAGUGUGGACGCCAGUCUGCAUGGAGCCGACCUUGAAAUACCACCCUUUAAUGUUUGAUGUUCUAACGU
rnacentral:rRNA from 1 species